rnacentral:misc_RNA from 1 species
GUAUAAAGGUUUGUAGGCACGAUGGCCCUUUCAAUUACAUUCUAUAACAUAAAUGGUGUAUAUGAAGAAAACCAUAGGCCUGGAAGUGUAAGGAAAGACAAAAGUCAAUUCCCCAAACCUGAAUGCAAGGCAUUCAGAAAGAUAUCCAGAUCUACAAAAGGUGCACAGGUGGAAAUAUAAAGAUGACAAGUGUGCACAUGCCCCCUAGAGAGCCAGCAGCAACCCAUCAGGUUUAUUUCAAUAAUGAUCCUUCCGCAGGUUCACCUACGGAAA